AUAUUUGAAGAAUAUGACAUGUAUAAUCUCAAUAAUAUGGUUUGAGAGUUUCUACCAGGAGCCGAUACAUCCUGAUUACAAAAAUCUGUC
rnacentral:ncRNA from 1 species